rnacentral:misc_RNA from 1 species
GAUGAAGAACGUAGCGAAAUGCGAUAAGUAGUGUGAAUUGCAGAAUUCAGUGAAUCAUCGAAUCUUUGAACGCACAUUGCGCCCCUUGGUAUUCCAUGGGGCAUGCCUGUUCGAGCGUCAUUUGUACCUUCAAGCUCUGCUUGGUGUUGGGUGUUUGUCUCGCCUCUGCGUGUAGACUCGCCUUAAAACAAUUGGCAGCCAGCGUAUUGAUUUCGGAGCGCAGUACAUCUCGCGCUUUGCACUCAUAACGACGACGUCCAAAAGUACAUUUUUACACUCUUGACCUCGGAUCAGGUAGGGAUACCCGCUGAACUUAAGCAUAUCAAUAAGCGGAGGA